UGAAUUUGGAAGGAUAAUAGUCCAUAUUGGCAUGAAAGAUUUAAGUGGUUAUGAGAAGUUUUGUGAUUUUAUGGUAGAUUUAUGUAAUUAUGAAAAUGAAAUUAUUAAGGUGCAAAUUAUGAUUAUGGUUGAUGAAAUUGGAAGAUGGAAAUAUGUUAUGAAUAUGUAGAUUGAAGAUUAGAAGUUUUGGAUGGAUUAUGGUUUUGGUGGAAAGUUUGUAUAUUUUGUAUAUCUUGUGAAUAUUUGGUAGAAAUGAUAUGAAAUGCUUCCGAAUUAUAUUGUAAUGAUCUUGAUUAGUAAUGAAUGUAAAAACAUUGAGAUUGGUUUUGGAAAUGUGAAGUUGGAAUGAAAGCUAUUGCAUUAUGUUGGAAAGAAGACUAGUUGUGUUAUAUUGUGUUUUGUAGUCAUGGUUGUUGUCAUUGUGUUGAUAGUUUGGCCGGGUUGAAUUCCCGGAUUGUUGUUGAUAAAAAAAUUGGCUAAGUUGAAUUUUGGGGAUGGUGUAUUUAUAGGGGAGAUGCUGCCCAAAUUUUUGUAGACAAGUAUUGGUUAAGAUUGAAAUCUUAAAGCCUUACAAUUAACAUUUGGUAAUUGUGACCAAAUUGUAGAUUUUGGCGAACUUGAAACUUGAUUUUGGAGACGUGUAUGAAGCGGAAAAGGUCAGCAGACAGGUGGACUUGAUCCUUAGGAGCUCUACCAGCGGUACUCUACAGUGCUCCAGUUGUUCCGGAGCCUCACUUCCGCGGUACUAUUUUGUGUAUGUAUAUUCGGGCACGGCAGUACCCGACCCUUUAUAUGUAUAAGUGUACUAUGUCUAGAGGCUCGUAGACAGAUAUGCCCAGUCAGUCAAGUACAGUUAGAUAUAUGGUGUGUUGGCAUUUUAAUGUUGUUGUAUAAAGUGAUAACGAAGUUUACUAGUCUAUGUUCAUAAUGAUGCUGCUAAUGUUAAUGUUAA